UUAAUUGAAGCCAAAUUUGAGGCACUUUAUUGUUAAUAAAGUAAGUGAGUAAAUUUUUUUAUCCAAUUAAA
rnacentral:tRNA from 1 species